rnacentral:tRNA from 1 species
GUCCAAGUGGUCUAGGGGUAUGAUUCUUCUUUAGGGAACACCUAACUUGGAAGAGGUCCCGGGUUCGAUUCCCGGCUUGGACC